GUGGCCUUCUCUCCGAGUGGACAUGGGAGAGAUGGGAGACGGCGGAGACGAAUGGAGAUUUCACACAAAAUUGUCUGCGUCUCCCACGGCGUCCGGUGGCUGUGGAUUUCUCCAUCAGCUGGAGGACUGGAGACGAAAACCGGCGAGGACUCAUUUGGGUGGAAUAUCAAUUCAAUGCUCAAAUGCAUUUCUGAAAGUGGAGGCAAUUAACGGGCUAAUUAUCAGCACCGUGGAGAACAUUUUAAUCACCAGAAAAAAAGCUUAAGUGAAAUAAUGUCGUCAACACAGGCUGAGCGGUGAGCAGUGGAGGGAAAACUUUACCCUGCUGCAACCAGGACAUGACCUUUAUCUGAAACUUGAGGUGUUUUAGGUGGAUUUUUAUGUCUCAUCGUGACAUAAAUAAAGAGUAACUUAUUCAUCUAUUCGGUCCUAAAAGUCACAAAUUAUGUGGACGAUGUAUCGCACAAUUAUAGCACAAAAGGUAAUAAAUAACGGUUUCUACUUUUGAUCAAAUCUGAUCUUGGUGGUGAUUACCAUUUAGUUUAUGGACCUGCAGCAACAGCACCCAGCGUCUCUCAUUAACUGCGCCCAUCUCUUUUGAUCUUCCACCAGACGAUACUGAGGCAAGGUGAAAAGUUUACUUGAGGGAGGAGACUGCAUCUAUUAGGGCUUUAAUGAAAACACUUGACCAUUUCUGGGAGAAAACCAGCAGCAAACAGAAUAAAAUAAUAUAUACCUGAAGGGAAAAUGGAAAGUUUUACUUCCCUGUAGGAUUAGUUCCGGUUCAAGGCUAUGGAAUAUAUGCAGAGGUCUUAUGCAAAUUGGUCUCAUGAGGACAAACGAUGAAUUAUUGCUUGUUUCAAGCCUGAAGCAAUGCAGUUAAGUAUUUGUAUAUCUCGUUCGUUAAGCAGCUGCGUUGGUAUGGCUACACAGGGAGAUAUUUACCAAGCUCUUGGCAGUAUCCCAUCCCAUUCCACUGUAAAUUGAGUUAAGUUUGGAAGACUUGAUUGUUUUUUUUUUCUUUUUUACCAUAAUAAACCCUGAAGAAAUGGUUAAACCUGAGCCCCGGUUUCACUACA